rnacentral:lncRNA from 1 species
CCGUGUGUCUGUGGUCAAUUGAUUUUUUGAUAAAAUGACUAAAAAUACACAAUGAAGAAAGAAAAUUAUUUUCAAUAAAUGGUGUAGAAAAAACUGAAUAUCCACAUACAGAAGAAUAAAAUUUGACUUUCCUUUUGCUGUAUACCCAUUAGAUUUCAAAGAUAAGUAAAGGAACAAUUUUGCUUUACUUUGAGUUGAUCACAGCUUUGUAAAAGAGGAUAGCAUUGUAAACUACAAAAUUAGCCUAAUAAUAAAUAACAUAGAAUGCUUUCAGUAUAAGAAAUAAUACUAUCCUAAGCAAAAAUAAAUAAAUAAAUAAAAGUGGAGGAAUUAUAUUAUCUGACUUCAUAUUAUACUACAGAAUUAUAGUAACCAAAAGAGUAGGGUACUGGCAUAAAAAGAGACCCAUAGAUCAAUGGAACACAAUAGAGAACCCAGUAACAAAUCUAUAUACCUACAGUGAACUCAUUUUUGACAAAGGUGCCAAGAACAUACACUGGUGGGAAAUGGUGUUGAAAAAACUGGAUAUCCAUAUGCAGAAGAAUGAAAACAGACUAGUAUCUAUCACCGAAUACAAAAGUAAAAUCAAAGUUGAUUAAAGAUGUAAAGCUAAUACCUCAAACUAUAAAAAAAUCUCCAGGACAUUGGUCUGGGCAAAAAUAUCUUGAGCAAUACCCGACAAGCACAGGCAACCAAAGCAAAAAUGGACAAAUGGAUCACAUUAAGUUAAAACGCUUCUGCACAGAAAAUGAUACAAUCAACAAAGUUAAGAGACAAUCCACAGAAUGGGAGAAAAUAUUUGCAAACUACUCAUCC